rnacentral:rRNA from 1 species
UACGUAGGGUGCAAGCGUUAAUCGGAAUUACUGGGCGUAAAGCGUGCGCAGGCGGUUCGUUGUGUCGGUGGUGAAAGCCCCGGGCUUAACCUGGGAAUGGCCAUGGAAACUGGCGAACUGGAGUGUGGCAGAGGGGGGUGGAAUUCCGAGUGUAGAGGUGAAAUUCGUAGAUAUUCGGAAGAACACCAGUGGCGAAGGCGGCUCACUGGACCGGUAUUGACGCUGAGGUGCGAAAGCGUGGGGAGCAAACAGGG